rnacentral:rRNA from 1 species
UACGUAGGUGGCAAGCGUUGUCCGGAAUUAUUGGGCGUAAAGCGCGCGCAGGUGGUUUCUUAAGUCUGAUGUGAAAGCCCACGGCUCAACCGUGGAGGGUCAUUGGAAACUGGGGAACUUGAGUGCAGGAGAGAAGAGUGGAAUUCCACGUGUAGCGGUGAAAUGCGUAGAGAUGUGGAGGAACACCAGUGGCGAAGGCGACUCACUGGCCCGAUACUGACGCUGAGGCACGAAAGCGUGGGAGC